UCUCCGUUGGUGAACCAGCGGAGGGAUCAUUACAGGACUCGCAAGACUCCUACAACCCUGUGAACUUAACUAUAAGCACGUUGCUUCGGCGGGUGUCUCGGAGGGGGUUCUCCCUCCCCGAGACGCUAAACCCGCCGGCAGCCUACUAAACUCUGUCUCUUUGCGUUGGCAUCUCGAGUACAAUCAAACAAGUUAAAACUUUCAACAACGGAUCUCUUGGUUCUG
rnacentral:misc_RNA from 1 species